rnacentral:rRNA from 1 species
GAUCCUGGCUCAGGAUGAACGCUGGCGGCGUGCUUAACACAUGCAAGUCGAACGAGGGUGAUAGCAAUAUUACCCGAGUGGCGGACGGGUGAGUAACGCGUGAACAAUCUGCCUAUGUCAGGGGAAUAACACUAAGAAAUUGGUGCUAAUACCGCAUAAGACCACGAGGAGGCAUCUUCUUGGGGUAAAAGACUUAUCGGACAUAGAUGAGUUCGCGUCCCAUUAGGUAGUUGGUGAGGUAACGG